GUCUAUGACCAUACACCCUAAACGCGCCCAAUCUCGUCUGAUCUCAAAAGCUAAGCAUGGUCGGGCCUGGUUAGUACUUGGAUGGGAGUCAUAACGUGAACCACUUAUAUGCAAAGUCU
rnacentral:rRNA from 1 species